GGUGCGCGCCGGGUAGGAGAUCCAGGAGAUGCUCCGCUGGGCCGGCGCCUGGAGGCUCCCCUGUAGGGGCCUGGGCCCCUCCAGUCCCAGCUUCUCCAGAGUGCCUGUCGCACCCAGCAGCAGCCAAGGCGGCACCGAGCCAAGGCCGGUGCCGCUUUCCUACAGACUUCUGGACGGCGAGGCAACCCGCCCGCCCCUCGUCUUUCUGCAUGGGCUCUUCGGCUGCAAAACCAACUUCAACUCCAUCGCCAAAGCCCUGGCCCAGCAGACAGGCCGGAGGGUGCUGACAGUGGAUGCUCGGAACCAUGGUGACAGCCCUCACAGCCCAGACAUGAGCUACGAGGCCAUGAGCCAGGAUCUGCAGAACCUCCUGCCCCAGCUGGGCCUAGUGCCCUGCGUCCUCAUUGGCCACAGCAUGGGAGGCAGGACAGCCAUGCUGCUGGCACUUCAGAGGCCAGAGCUGGUGGAGCGCUUGAUUGCCGUGGACAUCAGCCCAGUGGAGAGCCCGUCCAGCUUGAACUUUCCAAACUACAUAGCAGCCAUGAGGGCCAUAGACAUCCCGGAUGAGUCGUCCCUCUCUAGUGCCCGAAAACUGGCGGAUGAGAAGCUCAGCUGUGUUAUCCAGAGCAUAAGCAUGCGGCAGUUCCUGCUCACCAACCUGGUGGAGGUGGAUGGGCGCUUCAUGUGGAGGGUGAACUUGGAUGCCUUGGCCCAGCACUUGGACAAGAUCUUGAACUUCCCACCACGACCAGAAACCUACUCUGGGCCAGCCCUCUUUCUCCUGGGUGGAAACUCUCAAUUCGUGCUUCCCAGCCACCACCCUGAGAUUAGGCGGCUCUUCCCUCGGGCCCAGAUGCAGACCGUGCCUAACGCUAGCCACUGGGUCCACAGCGACUGCCCGCAGGACUUCAUGGCUGCCGUCCGAGACUUCCUGGCCUAAGGGUUGCUGGCCAGAGGGGACACGAAACCCCAGGCUUCAAGGCCCUGCGGGCUGCUCCUUGUUUCUGCACAGAAGGACUCAGGAAUGCCUGACGUCCCCCCUUCUCCUCCUGGCAGGACAGAGCCUGAGGGUGAGCCAGCCACCACCCUCCCGUCCCCCACAAGCAGCUUCCUCUCACUUGGCAAUGGCUUCAUCCCGCUCCCGGAGGACCUGGUCCAGCGAGGGGUCUGUCUGGGUAUCCCCCAGUGCUCCAGCCACUUGGGAUUCUGGGCUCUGUGGUAGGGUGACAGAGGAGGGAGUAGUGGUUUGGGGCUUGCCUGGAUAAGGUGUCCCACUUGGCCCUUCCGCCCUGGCCUUGGCCCUGAUGCUGAUGUCAGGAGGGGAAGGGUCUGAGACGUUCCGUACCUGCCCCCCAGUGCCCCGGUCUCGUGGGCAGGGGACUGCAUCAUGCUGAGGGGAUAGUAGGUGUGGCCCCUUCCCACCCAAAGGAAAGCAGAGGGGGCAGGGUGUUUGGACCCCCCCGCCCCCAAGGAGGAAAGGAAUUCUCACCUGAUCCCCAGGAAAGAGACAAGGUGGGUUCAGAAGGACACUUACCCCUCGAGGGCCCCAGAACUGAGAGGGUGGCCUGGUGACUGGGACUCUUGUCAGCGGGGUGGGGCAGGCGGAGGACGUGGCCCUUUGCCCUCCCUUGCUGUCAAGGCACUCCCUGUCAGGCCCCGCCCCGGGUAGGCUGACCAUGCCCCUGCCUCCACUCCUGGAUCCUGGAACCCUCCAGCCAGACCCAGAGUUUCCUCACCCGUUCCUUGCCCAGUCAUGCAUGCCCCUCACCUCAAGGGGGCGCUCUACUCACAUCAGUAGAUAAGAAAGGAGUGACAGCCGGAUGACGCCAACGCUAAGAGACAGGUGCCCCAGUCCCCCAUGGUGAAGAGUUGGCAUCUUGGAAGCUUGAGUGGCAUCACCACACAUACAACCAUAACCUUAGCUCAGCAGAAAACAGAAGGGCAAAAGCUUAACCGUUCCUGGCAAAUGCCUCCUAACAUCUUGAACGGUCUGUCCUCCCUAGCAAUAUCCUCUAGUAUUCCCACAAUAGUGCUCAUUAUUCCUCCAAUAUUCCCAACAUUCUGAUCCUGGAGUGUGGGUGGAGGUGCUGUGCUCUGAGGGGGGGGGCAGGGGUAGUCUCAGAAUCUCAGUAUCCCACACCCCCCUCGAUGUGACCGUUGAGAGCACAAGUGACCUCAAACGUGUAAAAGGGCCUCCCCAUUGAGAGGCCUUUGCAGCAAGGUUCCAUCUUGGGGAUUAGACCCUUAACCCCACUCUAAAUAGGACAUACUUCCUCCAAGACCCCCCAGGAAGCUCCCUGCAGACAUGACUCCUGAUUGUCCGGGUCCCACUCAGCCAGGUGCACCUCUAACAGCCAGACUCCAGUUUCUUUGGUUGAACCCAGGUGAAGAGGUGGAACUGAGCUGUACCCCCAAAAACCCCUUUUGUGGAGGAGAUUCAUUCAGUGUGUUUCUGGAGGCUGCUCUAUGUCAUGAUCCAGACAGGACCUCUGCUCUCGGAUCUCUGGGGCUAGCAGGGAUGAAGCACAGAUAUAAUCAGAAAAGGGUGUCAGGGAGUCCAGGGACAGUGGGAGCACAAAGGCCCCUCACAUCCAGUCACGGGGGUUCCACAGGAGCUUGUCCAGUAAUGAAUCCCGCAGGCCAGCAGGAGUCAGCCAGAAAGGUGUAACACUCAUGCCAGGCAUUUCUUUUAUUUAACUUUUUACUUUGAAACAAUUUCAAACUGCUCUUCAAUGUCAAAAAAAAAAAAAAAAUAUAUAUAUAUAUAUAUAUAUAUAUCUCCUUUUAGGGUUAAAAAAACUAAUAUGGUAUCAAACAUUGCACCCAGUUGUCACAUCUCUCUGGUCUCCCUCAAUCUAGAACAAUUUGCAGCCUUUCUUUGAAUUUUGACCUUGACAUGUUUGAAGAUUACAGGGAACUUAUUUUGUAGACUGUCCUUCAAUUUGGGUUUGUCCAUUUCUUUCUCACAAUUAGACCACUGUUAUACAUUUUGAGCAGAAAUAUCACAAAAACGAUGCUGUGCUUUUUUUUUGGCCACGCCGCACAGUUUGCGGGAUCUUAGUUCCCCGACCAGGGAUUGAACCCAGGCCACGGCAGUGAAAGCGCUGAGUCCUAAUCACAGGACCACCAGGGAACUCCUGAUGCUGUGUUCUUGUAUUCAGUAUCAUUUGGAACCAUGACUGGUGCUGGUAAUGUUGAUCACUUGAUCAUAAUUAGUAGGUAUUGGGGAAGGGAGGUACUUUAAGACUAUGAAACAUCCUUUUCUUCAUCCCGCUUUCACCCAUAGGUUUCAGCAUCCACUGAUGUUUCUUGCCUGAAUUAAUUAUUAAUACAAUGGUUUGCAAAUGGUGAUUUUCCAAUUUUAUCAUUUCUUCUACAUUUAUUAGUUGGCCUUCUACUAUAAAAAACUUUUUCUUCACCCCCAUUUAUUUAUUCAUUUACUUAUUUAUCAGAUGAACUUGUGAUUUCCUAUUUUAUUCAGUAGGUUAUAAUCCAUUCCUAUCAUUUAUUUUGAUGCUUAAAUUGUCCCAGGAUUGGUCAACGGGUGCCCCUUGCUGACCUCUUGUCAUUUUGAUGUGUCGCAUCAUUCUUUGGACACGUCCAUUCUUUCUGGCUCAAUAAGAUAUUCCAGGUUCAUCUUGUUUUUCCCUGCCCCAGCCCUGGAAUUAGCCAUUUCAGCAAGAAUACCUGUUUCUUUUUGGUGGAGAAUAAUAUUUAGAAACCAAGAUCUGGGUGUUAGUCGUGCUCAAUGCAAUUAGGGUAACCUCUACUGCCAGGCCCACUCAGUAGAUACAUGUUUAUAUACACACAUAAACAGACACAUUUAUACCUAUGUUUAUUUCUUUAUCUGUGUGAUGGUUAAUUUUAUAUGUCAACCUUACUGAGCCACUGAAUGCCCAGAUACCUCGAUAAACAUUACCUCUGGGCGUGUCUGUGAGGGUGUUUCCAAAAGAGGUUAGCGUUUGACUUGGUGGCCUGAGUAAAGCAGGUGGCCCUCCCCGAUGUGGGCGGGCAUCAUCCAAUUCAUUGAGGGCCUGAAUAAAACAAAAAGGCAGAGCAAGGUUGAAUUCUGUCUUCCGGACUGUUGAGCUGGAAUUGGUCUUCUCCUGCCCUUGAACUGGUACUUGCACCAUUAGAGCUCCCUGGUUCUCAGGCCUUCUGUCUGAGUCUGGAAUUCCACCACCCUACUUUCCAAGUCUCCAGCUUGCAGACAGCAGAUUGUGAGACUUCCCAGCCUCCAUAAUUGCAUGAGUCAAUCCCUCAUAAUAAGUCUCUUUCUCUAUAUUUAUCCUAUUGGUUCUGGUUCUCCGAAAACCCGAACUAAUACAAUUUCCAUAUAUUGAAAAAUAGUUUCCAUUCAGACCUUAAAUUCCAAUGGCACAGGGUUCAUCCUAGCUUUCCCCCUUUCCAGAUUUUUACUUCCUUUUCCCCAAUUGUCUUCAAUAUAUUUUAUAAUUUGUUCAAUCUCCCUGUAGGUAGCUAAUCCUCUGAGACAACAGGCUGCCCCCGACUUAGAUGCCCUCCUUACAUGGGGUUGGGUCCGGCAGGGCUGCCUUCCCAUCCCACUCCAGUGCCAUCAGCAUGCAUGGUCCUGGCUGCCAUUGGGCUAUCGAACAUUUCUAAGACUUUUGUAUUCAUUCAUUCUACAGAUAUUUAUUGAGCACCUACUAUGCUUCAGGCAUGUUUCCAAGUGACGGACAUAAAACAGGAAGAUAGACAAAGUUCCCUGACCACCGGAGCUCACAUUCUAGGGAAGGGAGAUAGACAAUAAACAAUAAACAAAUAAAUGAGUAUACCAGAUGGUAAGAAGUGCUGUGAAGAAAAAGCAGGGCAAGAGAAUGUAUAAAAGACUAGGAGAUUGCUAUUUUAUAUAAUUCUGUACUACCCUAGGGAGAUCACAAAUAUUAACCUACCACUGAGAUGAAAAAUAACCAUCCUCAUGACUUGGAAUAAUUUUUCCAGCAACAGCAUCAUUCAUGGAUUCAAAAAGCUCUGGGUUCCCCUGAUGGUUCAGUGGUUAAGAUUCCGCGCUUCCACUGCAGGGGGCACGGGUUCAAUCCCUGGUCGGGGAAGUUCCACAAGCCAUGCAGUGCAGCCAAAAAAAAAAAAAAAAAAGUUCUGUAUUUCCAAGCACAAGUGCAGAUGACACAUUCAAGAAAACUGUAUUAGGGAACUCAAAGGAGAUGCUAGGGAUGACACAUCACAUGACAAUGAGAAGCAGAAAUGCAAGUGAAGGGUUUGAAUAAACCUUCACAAACCGUGAGCGUGGAAAAGAAUU